rnacentral:rRNA from 1 species
UACGGGGGGGGCAAGCGUUGUUCGGAAUUAUUGGGCGUAAAGGGCGCGUAGGCGGCUGAACAAGUCAAAGGUGAAAUCCCUCGGCUCAACUGAGGAACUGCCUUUGAAACUGUUCGGCUUGAGGCCGGGAGGGGGUAGCGGAAUUCCCAGUGUAGCGGUGAAAUGCGUAGAUAUUGGGAGGAACACCAGUGGCGAAGGCGGCUACCUGGACCGGUUCUGACGCUGAGGCGCGAAAGCGUGGGUAGCAAACAGG